rnacentral:rRNA from 1 species
UACGGGGGGGGCAAGCGUUGUUCGGAUUCAUUGGGCGUAAAGGGUGCGUAGGCGGCGUGGUAAGUCGGGCGUGAAAUCUCGGAGCUUAACUCCGAAACUGCAUUCGAUACUGCCGUGCUUGAGGACUGGAGAGGAGACUGGAAUUUACGGUGUAGCGGUGAAAUGCGUAGAUAUGUGGAAGAACACCAGUGGCGAAGGCGGAUUUCUAGCUUAUACCUGACGCUGAGGCGCGAAAGCAAGGGGAUCAAACAGG